rnacentral:lncRNA from 1 species
GGUCUUCCUAUGUAAACCAGGUUGGCUCUGAACUCUCAGAGAUACUCAACUCUGCUUGCAUAAAUUUUAAAAUUUAAGGACAAAAAAGAGAGAAGUGAGAACAAAACCAGAGAGGCUAAGCAUAUCACAGAAAGUCCAAGUGAGUCACAGAAAGACAUAGGACAUAAAAGGUCAUGCUGCAGCACUGAGGGAAUUCAGGGCAGGAACUCAAACAGGAAGUGAAGUGGAGACCAUGGAGGAACACUGAUUACUGGCUUGUCCAGUCUACUUUCUUAUCCACCUCAGGACCACCUGCCCAGAAAUAUUGACUGGCAACUUUAAAUAAACUUUUCAAUUUUGUAGGCAAUUUUUCGUGAUCUGUCCUGAGUUAACCCAGAAUCUGUUGCACACACUCAACCACCAGUGAUCAAUGUUAGAAGUGUAAGAAAUCUCAUAGGUGGCAUCCCCAGAUCCUUGAACAGGCAGCCACAAGAUUUCCUUCCUAUCCUAAUUCUUCAAUAA